CGUCCGAUCCCUUUCGUUAUCUUUAAAGACCUGUUCUCUUCUGCCUCCCCAGCCGAAAACACACCCGGGAGCGGGGUCCCCUAGACCCACUCCUUCACGCGCGUCCUGCUGCGCGUUAACUGGAAGGCGAGACCGACAUCGAAAACCAGGAGUUUCAGCCAUCCUCCCCGGUCGGCGCCCGAAACUCCAGGCUCCCUUUACUUCUGGUCCCGCGGAAGGCGGCAGCCCGGCCGCCCCGAGCCGGCGCUCCCCUCCCCCGCGCGGCACCCACCUCGCGGCGGCGGCGGCUUCGCCUCGCCGUUCUCAUCCCGGGCGGCGGCGCCGAGGCCGUGCCUCCGCUUCUCCUUCUCGCGCUUCUCCUUGGGUCUGCGCGGCUUGGCGGCGGCGGCGGCGGCGGCCGGCGGAGCGACGGGCGGGAGCAGGACGCGGUGAGGCUGAGCGUGCAGCAGCGAGGGAGUGACCAGCAGUUUGCGCGGCAGCGGCUGGGACGAGGAAGCGGAGGCUGACGCGACGCUCGGGCUGGCGGAGAGGGAGUAACAGCUCCGAGACGUGGCCGAGGAGGAGGCGGCGGACCGAGCCGCGAAGCUCCACGCCGCCGGGCUGCCGUAGCUCUGGGGCGUCGGGGCGACGGGCGGCUGCAGCUGCCCGCCGUUCCCGCCGCUGCCCCCCUCCCCGUUCACUCUCCGCGGCGCCUUCUUCUCCUCGGUGCGAACCUUCUUGGCAGACAUAGAGCCCGGCGAGUCCCGCGAGGCAGGCUGUACUUUGCCAAACGCUUCCUUCUCGGAGAGGACGGCCACGGCGCCGCGAGCUGGGUUCGGCGGUUCCGCCAUUUUGCGCUCCUGUUGUAUUUACUCUCCGCCGCUCCCCGGAGCGGGGGCGCGGGGCGGGGUGCCUGGGUCCAGGCCGAGCUCCCAUUGGGCGCGCUGAACUGAGAGAUCCCGGAACGAACCAAUCAAAGACGCGGACAGAAGCCGCCGGGGUGGGGUCACCGAGCGGACCUUCUUUGGAGGUCAGAGGUCUUUUCGGCGCGGCUGACGGAGGGCUCGCCGAGAAGGGAGGGUCUCCGGACCGUCGCUCGGGAGCCCCGAAUCUGCCAGCACCGAGGUAGCGCUGCCGUUCGCUCAAAGACUUUGCCUUGUUUGUACCUCUCUCUCUUUUUACCUUGAGGUGGCUUGGGUCCCUUCUGCAGGUUCAGAAAAACGGUUUCUGUUGUUGCUCGUCUCGGAGAGUCCGAUCGGCAAAAGCUGAAAUGGUGAAAAGUUGCCUUAUUUUAACUAAGGUCGUAAAAGUUCGUGCUUUAAGAGAGAGUUUUCUGCAGAGCUGGAACUUGGAUCACUUCCGAUCGUGAAGAUAAUAAAUCACCCACCGUUUGGAGACUUUAAAUUGAGCUUGAGUGAUAAAGGUUUUCACUUUAAUUAUUCUUUAAACUGCACCAGGAAAAAAAAUCCGUUAGCGGUGUUUGUAAAUGUUUGAAAAUGCAGUUAGAUGUCUGUAUUUCAGAGUUAGCUCUAUGAAACUUCGCCAAGCAUGUACCUUGAUUUUUAUCUCAAAAGAUAAGGAAUUUGGGGGGAUGGGUUACAACACAGCUCAAGCUUUAGACAAGAGCAUGCCUUUAAGUCUUAGAUCUUGUAUGAGAUUAGAGUGUAACGAUAACACGUGGUCAAAUUAGCUCACCAAGGCAAAGGAGUUUUAUGAUCCCUAAGAGGAACAUUAGCUGUUACUUUCUGCCACUGUUAAACCUUUCCGGAAAUUGUCCUCAGGAAACUGGAAUGAACUGUUAUUUUGUUACUCUUCUUUUACUCUUAAUCCACUUCUUUAGGACUUGGUGAAGGGAACACUUCAAAUUUUAAUGCUGUUUGUAAAUACAUUUUUUUUUUUUUUUUUAGUUUUUGGUUGGUUGGUUGGUUGGUUUUUUGAGUCAUAGUCUCUCUCUAUAGUCCUGGCUGUCCUGUAAACCAGCCUGGCCUCAAACUUAAAUCUACCUGCAUUUGCCCAACUCCCCUCCCCAGUGCUGGAAUUAAAGAAAGGUGUGUACCACUGCAUCUGUCCUCAUUUUUUUUAGUUUUUAGAAGUAGAUUGUUAAUAUAUGGAGUAUUCCCUGAAGCUAGACCCAGAGAGACAAAUUUUGCAUAUUUUCUCUAAUGUGUGUAAUCUAGGUUUAAACACACACACACUUACUUAACAUAAAAGUAGAAGGGAAAUGGGAAAAAUAAAGCCAAUGAGCAUAAGAACGUCACCUCAUCUUCUCCCUCAUCUGGGGAAUGAGUAUAUCUAUCUACAUCCAGGGCAGGGGAUGAUAGAGUGGUAGUGUGACUGAGCAAACAAGGGUACAACAUGGAUGAAAGUGUCAGAAUGAAACUGAACGCUAAAUAAGAAAACAAAAGGAAAGGGGGGGUCCUCUCUAGAUUACCUAAUUGAGGCGUUCAUAACAGUAUCAGUCUAAUGGUCUUUUUAAAAUUCAUUUUUCUAUUUUUUUCUCUUUUAGAAAGCAUUUGCUUGUGCAAAGGGGGACAAUGUCCAGGAGCAGAACUAAUGAUCUAUUAAAUAAUACACAACUAUGUUAUGUAUGCAUGGCAAAAAUUAAAUAUCCUAGCAGAAAGCGGGCGCUGCAGUGGACUGGCCUGUCUUCCUGAGGAGUAGCAUACAGUGUGGGAGACAAUAGGGCUGGCAGUCACUCACUCACCAGCCUUGAGAUUCUACUCAGGCUGCUUUGCCUGGCAAGCUCUCUGUUGUCUUAUUUGGUAAGUGGGUAAAAUUAACUACAUGGAUCCUAUAUUUUUUAUUUGUCAUUUUCAAUAUUUGCAGAAUCACAUUGAAACUAUUACAAUUAAUUUCUCAGCACACUGGAGGCAGAUCUGCAGGCAAAUCUCUGAAUUCCAGGCCAGCUUAGUCUACAGUGUGAGUUCCAGGACACCCAAGGCUACACAGAGAAACCCUGUCUCAAAACAAAACAAAAAGUAAGGAAACACUUAAAAUAAUUUUUCAUCAGACAUGGUGAUACAGUCCUGUGAUCUCAGGGUUUUAGAGGGAGCCACAGAGGGAUCAGAAGUUCAAGGUCCCCAACUAACUACAUAGGAAAUUCAAGACCAACAUGGGCUACAUGAAACUGAAGCAAAGUAAAUUUUUAAGUAUUUUCUUUAUUAUUGUAUGUGUACCACUGUUUGCCUGCAUAUGUAUAUGUAUAUCACAUAUGUGUCAGGUGCCUGUGAAAGCCAGAAGAGAACAGUGGAUUCCGUGAAACUGGAGUUAUGCCGGUGGUGAGCUGCCUUGCUGGGAAACAAAUCCAUGUCCUCUCCCAAAACAAGCACUCUUGGCCACCAUUGACCAUCUCUCCAAAACCCAGAAUAACUUCUGUGCUCAUGGAAGCCAGAAGAGGACAACAGAUUCCCUGAAAUUGUACUUAAAUAAUGAUGUGAGCCACCAAGGGUAGACACUGGGAUCCGAACUCAGGUCCUCUGCAAGAGCAGCGAGUGCUCUGCUCCUGCCCACUGGGCCAUUUCCCCAGCCGUGUGAUUCUGCUUUUAAAACACUUGCUAAGAUAUCGGAGCCAAAUGUAAGAAGUAGCCAUAUAACCUUUGUGUGCAAAAGUAACGUUUUAAAUAAGUGCAGAGUGAGUGACAGGAAAUUACCUGCUGAUUUGGACUGUUGCUGUCAGUUUCCGUGGCUGUCAGGAGGAGCCUUUUCACAGUAUUUUACAGACUUGUCAAACAGUAAUAAGUGACACCUUCAUUGUCUACACAAAGGCCUUUUUUCACCCACUUCAUUUUCUCUGGCUGAUCCUGAAAAUACCCAUGACAUCAACAAACUGCUAACUGCUUCUCAGUUUAACCUCUCAGAACUCCAUUGCCCCCUGUGUGUCCUCACUGCUCAGCAUCUUGCAUAGGGCUCCUGCCAGUGCCUGCAUUCUUUUUUUUUUUUUUUUUUUUAAAAAACUUCCUGAAUCCUUAUUUCUUUGAGGUUGAUGAACCUCAUUAGGGGGGUAAAAAAGAGAGAGCGUGCACACUAUGCAUCCACCAUUUCUCCUGGGCCCGGGGAUAAAAUGUCAAGGAACUCUUCCUAUAAAGCUUUCAAGAAAGCUCCCAGGGAGGGAGGACUUUGGCCCCUUCUCACUUCCUGAAGCUUAAGAGAAACUGUCAAGAUUAUAAACUUGUGGGUCACUUUUCUUAACAUUUCUGAUGGCUUGGGUAAACUGCACUCUCACUUCUUCCCCACUAAUAUCAGCUUACAGUAAAUACUGCAUAACCAGUUUCUUAACCACAAUCUGUCGUCCAGUUGGAAUAUGUACUUAAGUUUGGGACGGAGGUGAGAACCAGAGGUGAAGUCAGCCUCUGACUAAAAGCUCCCUUGGCGAGCCAGUAGCGACCACAAAGCAGGAAGCAGAAGGGAGAGGGCGGAGUCAGCCAGGCAGAGUGAGUAGAAACCAUCCGGUUGGGUUGGGUUUGGUUUAAUCUUACUUUAUGUGCAUCAGUGUUGCUUGCAUGUAUGUCUGAGGGUGUUGGACCCUCUGGAGCUGGAGGUACAGUGGUGAGCUGCCAUGUGAGUUCUGGAAAUUGAACCGAGGUCCUCUGGAAGAGCAGCCAGUGCUCUUAACUGCUAAAGUAUCUCUCCAGCCCUCCAGCCUUGGAGUUCUUUUAACAAAUGUUUAUUGGUGAAAUGGCUCAGCAAGAAUGAAGGCACUUGGCACAGAGCCUGACAAACUGAGGUCAGUCCCCAAGGCCCACAUGGUGGAAGGGAGAACUGACCCCAGCAAGUGGUCCCCUGACCCAGCAUGUGUACUGUGGAAGUCUCCUGCACAUAUGCAUAUACUAGUCCUCUCCCUUCCCCUCCCUCUCUCUCUCACACACACAAUAUAAAUAAAUGUUGUAAAAAUGGUUUUGUUUUUAUUUUUGUUUUUUAGAGGCAGGUUCUCUCUACAUAGCCCUGACAGUCCUGGAAAUCACUUUGUAGACCAGGCUACCCUUGAACUCACAGAGACCUACCUACCUCCGCUCCCAGUGCUAGGAUUAAAGGCAACCAGACCCAGCAAAUGUAGUAAAACAUGCUUUUAAACUUU
ensembl:antisense